UCUGCAGGGUCGCACAUUAAUUUAUUGGAGAAAUGGAGUAGGAAGAAGGAAGAUGGUAACUGGGCCUUGGUGAACACCUUCCUUGAUAAGGAUGAUGGGGCUUAUGAACUAAUCCAUUGCAGUGGAGAGAAGAGGGAAGCAAUGACCUGUAGUUGAAGAAGCAGAGUAGCUGGAUUUAGGUACCUUGGGGAGGGGUUGCCCAGCAACAGUGACAUACAGCAUGGUGAUUGGCUCCCUGCCCGGCGUUUCCGACGGAGGUCAGAGCCCUGUGAGCAGUGUACAUCGCGGCGGGAAGCGUCAUUGAAGACGUCGUUGGUUAGGGGUCGCCUAGUAACGGGAGCUUCAUUCCCGCGAUUGGUUCCCCGCUCGACGCAACAAUUGUACGUCAGUACCCUGCAACUGGGACACCUCGCAGCUGGAUGUGACCUCACCAUCGGCGCCUGGACAGUCAUGGCACCGGACACUGGGUGACGACGUCAUUGGUGGGCGUCUUCACCCCAGAGUCGGCAGCAGUGGCGUUUGCACGUGGUGUUUAGAUGCUUUAUAAGAGUUUAAGUAAAAAUGCAGAAUUGAAUACAAUCAUCCGUGACAGGUUACAGAAUUCCUAAUUAUCACAAGUGAAGCUGCCGCCCAGAAAUGAAGAGAAACACCCACUGGAGUCAUCACAAAGUCCCCUGCAAUGGUGUACGCAUACACAGCGCUGACGCAAUAACAAGGAACAUCGACUCCUAUGGGUGACCUACAGCUGCGACAGUAGCGACGGUGGCUCCAUGUUUCUCUACAUACAUGAUCGCAGCUAAAUACACGCCUGGCCAUGACAUGCCUGUGUUUUUUGCUGCCACUCCCAUGUUAAGUCCCCCAAACAGUCCCUUCCUAUCAAUAACUCUGCAUAUAAAAUGUCAGUGCAAGUGUGAUUGCAAAGUCCUUGGCAUGCAUGCAGGGGGUAAUUC